CUCUUGGGUUGUAAACCCCUUUUCUCUGGGAAGAAAGUUGUGAAAGCAACCUGACGGUACCAGAGGAAUCAGCAUCGGCUAACUCCGUGCCAGCAGCCGCGGUAAGACGGAGGGUGCAAGCGUUAUCCGGAAUGAUUGGGCGUAAAGCGUCCGCAGGUGGCAGUUCAAGUCUGCUGUCAAAGACCGGGGCUUAACUUCGGAAAGGCAGUGGAAACUGAACAGCUAGAGUAUGGUAGGGGCAGAGGGAAUUCCUGGUGUAGCGGUGAAAUGCGUAGAGAUCAGGAAGAACAUCGGUG
rnacentral:rRNA from 1 species